UACGUAGGGUCCGAGCGUUGUCCGGAAUUAUUGGGCGUAAAGAGCUCGUAGGCGGCCUGUCGCGUCAAUUGUGAAAGCCCGGGGCUCAACCCCGGGUCUGCAGUCGAUACGGGCAGGCUAGAGUUCGGUAGGGGAGAUCGGAAUUCCUGGUGUAGCGGUGAAAUGCGCAGAUAUCAGGAGGAACACCGGUGGCGAAGGCGGCAUCCUGGACCAACACUGACGCUGAGUGAGCGAAAGCCAGGGGAGCAAACGGG
rnacentral:rRNA from 1 species